GCAGCAGGCACGCUGACCUCUGGCUCAGAUAGAGAGAGGGAUUCCAGGAGCCCUGAGAACUGUCCACGCCUCGGAGCCCUCCACAGGGCUCCCUCUCCUGCAGAUGGAUUUGUGACUCUGUCAAGUGUCACGCACACCCCAGCGUUGCUGGGUGGCACCAGCGACAUGUUUUGUGCGCUACACAGAUUGCAGUGUUUUGCGGCAGAAGAGCGUGAACUUUAGACCUGGCCGGGACCCCAUUUUCACCCCCCGUUGCGUGGGCAGAUCAAAUCAACCCCACUGACACUCCCCGAGGCUCAAUUCCAGCAGGGACGCCUGGACCAGAGAGAGAAGGCAGAGACUGGACUGAAGUCCGCCGGAAAGAUGACAAAAUUGGGGCCCAGAGAGGUUAAGUACCAUGUGCCCAGGUCACAGAGCUGGUCAGUGGCAGAGCAAGGAUUCAAGCCCAGGCAGCAUCCACGUGUUGAAGAAAAGCCACCACACUAUUUGCAUUUUUGUCGCUGUUGGGCUUCUGUAUCUGUAUCUGAGCCUGAGACUGACCGUUAAGGUGUCCCUGAGUCUCUGGGUCAGCCCCAGGAGGGCCAAGGAAGAACCGUUCAAUCCCCGGGCUACCUGUGCCCUCAGAGACUAGGGCACCGUGGGAGCCUCAAACUCCCUUAGGUAUCAGCACCAUCUAGAAGCUGACAUCUCCCCAUAAGGGGACACAUUUUCAAAUUUAUGUAGAAGCUGUUGAAUAAAACCCAUACUCAUUUAAAAGUAUUACUGAA